CAGAGGUCUCGAGCGUUAGGCGGAAUCACUGGGCUUAAAGCGUGUGUAGGCGGGUCGUUAAGUACCUUGUGAAAUCCCAUGGCUCAACCAUGGAACUGCUUGGUAUACUGGCGAUCUUGUGCAACCUAGGGGCGAGCGGAACAGAUGGUGGAGCGGUGAAAUGCGUAGAUAUCAUCUGGAACGCCAAUGGUGAAAACAGCUCGCUGGGGGUUUGCAGACGCUGAGACACGAAAGCCAGGGGAGCGAACGGG
rnacentral:rRNA from 1 species